AACGUAGGAGACGAACGUUAUCCGGAGUUCCUGGGCGUAAAGGGCGUGCAGGCGGUCUGAUAAGUUCGGCGUGAAAUAUUCCGGCUUAACCGGGAUAGGUCGUCGGAGACUGUCGGACUAGAGGGUGAUAGAGGCGUGUGGAAUUCCGGGUGUAGUGGUGAAAUGCGUAGAGAUCCGGAGGAACACCAGUGGCGAAGGCGACACGCUGGGUCACACCUGACGCUAAAGCGCGACAGCAUGGGGAGCGAACGGG
rnacentral:rRNA from 1 species